UAACGCGUGGGUAACCUGCCUUAUACAGGGGGAUAACAGUUAGAAAUGACUGCUAAUACCGCAUAAGCGCACAGUACCGCAUGGUAGUGUGUGAAAAACUCCGGUGGUAUAAGAUGGACCCGCGUCUGAUUAGCCAGUUGGCGGGGUAACGGCCCACCAAAGCGACGAUCAGUAGCCGACCUGAGAGGGUGACCGGCCACAUUGGGACUGAGACACGGCCCAAACUCCUACGGGAGGCAGCAGUGGGGAAUAUUGCACAAUGGGGGAAACCCUGAUGCAGCAACGCCGCGUGAGUGAAGAAGUAUUUCGGUAUGUAAAGCUCUAUCAGCAGGGAAGAAGAUGACGGUACCUGAUUAAGAAGCCCCGGCUAACUACGUGCCAGCAGCCGCGGUAAUACGUAGGGGGCAAGCGUUAUCCGGAUUUACUGGGUGUAAAGGGAGCGCAGACGGCAGUGCAAGUCUGGAGUGAAAGCCCGGGGCCCAACCCCNGAACUGCUCUGGAAACUGUGCGGCUAGAGUACUGGAGGGGCAGGCGGAAUUCCUAGUGUAGCGGUGAAAUGCGUAGAUAUUAGGAGGAACACCAGUGGCGAAGGCGGCCUGCUGGACAGUAACUGACGUUGAGGCUCGAAAGCGUGGGGAGCAAACAGGAUUAGAUACCCUGGUAGU
rnacentral:rRNA from 1 species